GAGGAGACGAAGAACGAUGAAUCUGCUGCUACUCCCCUCUUCUCACAUAUGCUCCCUCAAAUUCAUUCACCCAAUUCCUCCCCUUUUCUCCUCCAUUUCCACCCAUGCUUCCAUGCCCAAGAUUCGCCCCACUGAUACGAACGCCGCCGGUGAGGAUCCAGUAUCUUCCGUCGCUCAAGAUAGGGUUCCUCUCGUAGGUGUUAUCCAGAAAGGGAAACCCAAUUCUUCUUCCCCAAUUCCCAAAUGGGGUAAAGUGGCAUUGCUGUUGUUCUCCGCAGUUGAAAGAUUCAGCCAUGGUUUUGAGGUUUUUGACUUUGAGACGCUUCGAACAGCCGACCCUUUCAUUGUUGGGUGGUUUUUGAGUGCAUCUUUUCUUGGAGGUUACGGGGAGGAUGGUCGAGGUAUGAAUGGCCUGUCUAAAUCAUGUAUUGCUGCAACAAAGUCUUGUGCUUUAGGUAUCCCGAAAAGGUACACAUGGAGAGAGGAGCAUAACGAUGAUAUCCGAUGCAAUUUUGAUGCAAAAGCAUCUUUGAAUCUCAGUAUGACCUUUAGCCGAAUUCGCAAAGCUCGGGUGAAGAAUAAAUCCCCUCCGAAAUGGAUUUCACCGCGGGUCUACAAGGAUCUAGAGCAAUUAUGGGAUACAUCACUAAAUGUGAAAUAAUGAAACAGGGCUUGAAUACUGUAAUCGUCGAUGACAGGCCAUCAUCACUCUACACAGACGGAUCCAUACCCAUGUCAAAGCGGGAUCAAGAGCUUAUAACUCUCGAUGGGAAAGGUGGGUUUCACCCGGCCAAGGUGAAUGGUGCUAUAAUGGGGUGUAUCAAGAAACAUUUCACUAAAGCUGUGAAAACAUACCGUGAAGUACCCCCGAGCUUAAAGAAGUAUGGUUCAAUGAGUUCAGAAAAAUGUAUAUAUGGAAAGAGGAGGAUGAGACUAAUAUUCGACGCACGUUUGAUGCAAAGGCAUCUAGCCAGCUCCUAAAUAACCUUAUCCAUAUUCGCAAAAGGCGUCUGGAGAAUAAAUCUCCUCCAAAAUGGAUUUCACUGGAGAUUUACAAGGAACU